rnacentral:piRNA from 1 species
UAAAUCUCAACUUUGCAUGAGGGCCC